GUUUUUGUAGUUGAAUACAACAGCAGUUUUUCAGACUGUGAGUCCGGGUUAGAACCCUGGCAAGAAUA
rnacentral:tRNA from 1 species